rnacentral:lncRNA from 1 species
CUGAGCUCUUAUGUAGUCAGAAGAUCAAGGGACUUUUGAGAUCUGCUUUGUCAUUUGGGCUUCAGAAGGUUGCUAUUCAAUUAAUCCUGAAGUGCAUUGGACUCCACUGCUUUGAAUCACAAGGGAUUAAGCAAGAAGUCUCAGAGGCCUUUGCUGGUGCAUUUCCAAAGCAGAUGCCUGGUGAACAAGAAAUUGCAGCAGGGGAUGUCUCUUUGCUUCUCUUGGCCUCUGAAAAAAGAAACAGAUGUAGUUGUUCAUCCCCAGCUCUUUGUCAAGAGGUCUGUUCCGAAUGUCUUUAGGGUCUGCUUAGCCACUUCUCUGGCUUCAUCUCCUGAUCAUAUCUAAUCAAUGGCACAAUGAAGAUACCUUUUAAAAAGGACAGUGGAGAGAAGAUAGUUUUUGCAGUGCUCAUUUGAUUGGACAUUCUUCAAAAACACUGUUAUGUAACAAGCAAAAUGUGGAGGGAAACAAUGAAACUGCAGCUGCAAUGAAAUGUAAGGAAAAAGCUCACCUGCAACACCUGGAUAAAACUGACUUACAGGUUAAAAAUCAGAUACUGUAAAUCAAAUAAGCUUAUAAAUCAGUUUUAUCCAGCUGUUGCAGGUGAGCUUUUUCUUGUAUUUGGGAUGCCUGGAUGGAGACAGCAAGAAUCUCUGGAAGCAGCAGUUUUCAGACUAUCACUCAAUGGUCCCUGCUAGAGGGACCAUUUUUUUGUACUUUGCACUUAGAGGCUACAAUUUAGACUUAUUGUGUUGGUUUCCUUUUUCAGAAUAAAUUUUUCUGUUUUCUUUUUGUCUUGUUGUUU